GGUGAGGUGGCUACAGACCGGGAGAGAGAAAAGGCUGCAGCGGCGUGAUCAGCCAGCCUGUCUGGAGUCGCCUCAGUGUGUUGUUUCCUUAGCACUUCUGGAUAAAGCAAUUCAGUCCUUCCUUCAGUGGAAUUAGAAAGCCUACUUCUUCAGGAUUCUGUCAUACACUGAAGAGCAACUGAGGCAUCGAGCCUUGUGGACAGAACAACUAACUUGAUUCUUGGACCUUCCAUUGUAUGCCUGGAACGUACCACUCGGCUCCACCAGUUCUCUCCAGACCUGGGUUCCCACUGGAGUCCCACCUUCUUGGGGGAGCCUGAUGACAACUCAUCCC
ensembl:lncRNA